rnacentral:rRNA from 1 species
GCAAGUCGAGCGAAUGAUGAGGAGCUUGCUCCUCUGAUUUAGCGGCGGACGGGUGAGUAACACGUGGGUAAUCUGCCUGUAAGACGGGGAUAACUCCGGGAAACCGGGGCUAAUACCGGAUAAUAAGAGAAGAAGCAUUUCUUCUUUUUGAAAGUCGGUUUCGGCUGACACUUACAGAUGAGCCCGCGGCGCAUUAGCUAGUUGGUGAGGUAACGGCUCACCAAGGCGACGAUGCGUAGCCGACCUGAGAGGGUGAUCGGCCACACUGGGACUGAGACACGGCCCAGACUCCUACGGGAGGCAGCAGUAGGGAAUCUUCGGCAAUGGGCGAAAGCCUGACCGAGCAACGCCGCGUGAGCGAUGAAGGCCUUCGGGUCGUAAAGCUCUGUUGUUAGAGAAGAACAAGUACGAGAGUAACUGCUCGUACCUUGACGGUACCUAACCAGAAAGCCACGGCUAACUACGUGCCAGCAGCCGCGGUAAUACGUAGGUGGCAAGCGUUAUCCGGAAUUAUUGGGCGUAAAGCGCGCGCAGGCGGUCUCUUAAGUCUGAUGUGAAAGCCCACGGCUCAACCGUGGAGGGUCAUUGGAAACUGGGAGACUUGAGUGCAGGAGAGAAAAGUGGAAUUCCACGUGUAGCGGUGAAAUGCGUAGAGAUGUGGAGGAACACCAGUGGCGAAGGCGGCUUUUUGGCCUGUAACUGACGCUGAGGCGCGAAAGCGUGGGGAGC